UAUCGUUACAUUUUUCGUUCGAAUUAAAAUUUGUAUGCUAGCAAAGCAUUUAUUUGUUCAAUUAGUAUAUGAACAUGCAGUCUUGAAUAUUUUUUAUAAGAAUAAAAAAAAGAAAAGGAACACGUGCACGAAGAACGAAAGCAAAAUCUCAGCAGUUGUUCGUUCGUAUACGACGAAGCAAAAGAUAAUUACGAAAAAGGCUACUUUGAGUUUUAACAUCAAAUUUUCACAUUUGCGUACGAAAAAGUAGAAAAGAAGUUAUCUUACAGCCAAGAUUAAUGUGCUGUUUUCCUUGAUAUCUAUUUCAAUCCUAUCCUCUAAAAAUAUUUUUGUAUUUAUUUUUAUAUCCAUUCCAUUGCAUACAUACA